rnacentral:tRNA from 1 species
GCCUGGGUGGCUCAGUUGGUUGAGCGUCCGACUUUGGCUCAGGUCACGAUCUCACGGCUCGCGAGUUCAAGCCCCGCGUCGGGCU